CCUACGGGAGGCAGCAGUGAGGAAUAUUGGUCAAUGGGCGGAAGCCUGAACCAGCCAAGUCGCGUGCAGGAUGACGGCCCUACGGGUUGUAAACUGCUUUUAUACGGGAAUAACGCGCCUUACGCGUAGGGCUUUGCAUGUACCGUAUGAAUAAGGACCGGCUAAUUCCGUGCCAGCAGCCGCGGUAAUACGGAAGGUCCGGGCGUUAUCCGGAUUUUUUGGGUUUAAAGGGUGCGUAGGCCGCAGGUCAAGCUGACUGUUAAAUGUACGGGCUCAACCCGGGCCUUGCAGCGCGAACUGGCGUGCUUGAGUCCGCGGAAAGCAGGCGGAAUGCGUCGGGUAGCGGUGAAAUGCUUAGAUAUGACGAAGAACCCCGAUUGCGAAGGCAGCUUGCUGCAGCGGAACUGACGCUGAUGCUCGAAAGCGCGGGUAUCGAACAGGAUUAGAUACCCCAGUAGUC
rnacentral:rRNA from 1 species